rnacentral:rRNA from 1 species
CCUACGGGAGGCAGCAGUGGGGAAUCUUGCGCAAUGGGCGAAAGCCUGACGCAGCAACGCCGCGUGCGGGAAGAAGGCUUUCGGGCUGUAAACCGCUUUCAGCAGGAACGAAAAUGACGGUACCUGCAGAAGAAGGAGCGGCCAACUAUGUGCCAGCAGCCGCGGUGAUACAUAGGCUUCAAGCGUUGUCCGGAUUUAUUGGGCGUAAAGAGUUCGUAGGCGGUCAAGUAAGUCGGGUGUGAAAAUUCUGGGCUCAACCCAGAGACGCCACCCGAUACUGCUUAACUUGAGUUCGAUAGGGGAGUGGGGAAUUCCUAGUGUAGCGGUGAAAUGCGCAGAUAUUAGGAGGAACACCGGUGGCGAAGGCGCCACUCUGGAUCGAUACUGACGCUGAGGAACGAAAGCAUGGGUAGCAAACAGGAUUAGAUACCCUGGUAGUCCAUGCCGUAAACGGUGGGCACUAGGUGUGGGUUUCUAUUAACGAAAUCCGCGCCGUCGCUAACGCAUUAAGUGCCCCGCCUGGGGAUACGGUCGCAAGACUAAACGUCAAAUGAAUUGACGG